AGCACAGACAGAGGCCCCAUUCUUACAAAAAGUGGGCAGGGUGCAGUGACGUUGUGACCAGAACACACACACACUCACACACACUGAGUCAGGAGGAGGAGGAUAUUGUUGGAGGUUGACGACGCUCGAAGAGCAAACAGGAACAGAAAGUGAAGCCUUGUCAUGAUGUGUGUGUGUGUGUGUGUGUGUGUGAGAGGGUGGCAAAAAGAAGCAAGCUGAUGGCAAACACAGACACAACUUGUUUGAUUAGCUGACGGGAGGAGGCCUGACCCGAGUUAAGGUUAGGAUGUAGCCCUCGAUGUCAGCGAAAGGUGCAGCCCAGGUCAACUGAGCCGACUCCGUGGUGACACUCAAAGCCUGCAAGUCCUUUGGAGCGUCAAUGUCUGUCAGUUGGAUGACAACACACGACAAAGAUAUUCUUCCUUGGCAUAAGAGAAAACAAACCGGCAUACCUAAUGAACAGUCCUCCCCGUAAAAACCCUGGUCGCAGAC